CGAGUUCCCAAAAAUAAUAAAGAGAUAACUCCAUUCGAGGAAUGGGAGAAGAAAAGGUUAAAGCUCUCUUAUCUACGAACCUGGGGUUGUUUGGCGAAAGUCAAUGUGCCAAUUCCAAAGAAGCGGAAGCUGGGACCAAAAACUGUGGAUUGUGUUUUCCUAGGAUAUGCUUUUAAUAGCAUUGGUUAUAGAUUCUUGGUUGUAAAAUCUGAGGUACCUACCAUGCAUGUCGGUACGAUCAUGGAAUCGAAUGAUGGAACUUUCUUUGAAGAUAUCUUUCCCAUGAAGGAUAUGGCUACCUCAUCUAAUCAGGAGAUGACUAGUUCAUCAAAUCAGGAACCGGUUACAAUUACUGAACCUGCCAUUUCGAUGGAACACUUUGAAAGUCCUCUGGAACAGAACAAUGAAGUUCCUACUAGAAGCAAGAGAUGGUGGACUUCAAGUCCUUUGGUGAUGAUUUUCUUGUGUAUUACAUAG
rnacentral:rRNA from 1 species